AUUGAACGCUGGCGGCAGGCCUAACACAUGCAAGUCGAGCGGAUGAAGGGAGCUUGCUCCUGGAUUCAGCGGCGGACGGGUGAGUAAUGCCUAGGAAUCUGCCUGGUAGUGGGGGAUAACGUCCGGAAACGGGCGCUAAUACCGCAUACGUCCUGAGGGAGAAAGUGGGGGAUCUUCGGACCUCACGCUAUCAGCUGAUCCUAGGUCGGAUUAGCUAGUUGGUGGGGUAAAGGCCUACCAAGGCGACGAUCCGUAACUGGUCUGAGAGGAGGAUCAGUCAAAUGGAAACGGAGAACGGUCCAAGAUCCCAAGGGAAGCAGGAGGGGGGAAUAUUUGAAAAAGGGCGAAAGCCUGAUCCAGCCAUGCCGCGUGUGUGAAGAAGGUCUUCGGAUUGUAAAGCACUUUAAGUUGGGAGGAAGGGCAGUAAGUUAAUACCUUGCUGUUUUGACGUUACCAACAGAAUAAGCACCGGCUAACUUCGUG
rnacentral:rRNA from 1 species